rnacentral:rRNA from 1 species
UACGUAGGUGACAAGCGUUGUCCGGAUUUACUGGGCGUAAAGAGCGCGCAGGCGGUCGAUCAAGUCGAGUGUGAAAGCCCCCGGCUCAACUGGGGAGGGUCAUUCGAUACUGAUCGACUCGAAGGCAGGAGAGGGUAGUGGAAUUCCCGGUGUAGUGGUGAAAUGCGUAGAUAUCUGGAGGAACACCGGUGGCGAAGGCGGCAUCCUGGACCAUUACUGACACUGAAAAGCGAAAGCCAGGGGAGCAAACGGG